GAUGAACGCUGGCGGCGUGCCUAAUACAUGCAAGUCGAGCGAACAGAUGAGGAGCUUGCUCCUCUGACGUUAGCGGCGGACGGGUGAGUAACACGUGGAUAACCUACCUAUAAGACUGGGAUAACUUCGGGAAACCGGAGCUAAUACCGGAUAAUAUAUUGAACCGCAUGGUUCAAUAGUGAAAGACGGUUUUGCUGUCACUUAUAGAUGGAUCCGCGCCGCAUUAGCUAGUUGGUAAGGUAACGGCUUACCAAGGCAACGAUGCGUAGCCGACCUGAGAGGGUGAUCGGCCACACUGGAGCUGAGACACGGUCCAGACUCCUACGGGAGGCAGCAGUAGGGAAUCUUCCGCAAUGGGCGAAAGCCUGACGGAGCAACGCCGCGUGAGUGAUGAAGGUCUUCGGAUCGUAAAACUCUGUUAUCAGGGAAGAACAAAUGUGUAAGUAACUAUGCACGUCUUGACGGUACCUAAUCAGAAAGCCACGGCUAACUACGUG
rnacentral:rRNA from 1 species